rnacentral:rRNA from 1 species
AGCGAACGCUGGCGGCAGGCUUAACACAUGCAAGUCGAGCGCCCCGCAAGGGGAGCGGCAGACGGGUGAGUAACACGUGGGAACGUGCCUUUUGGUUCGGAACAACCCAGGGAAACUUGGGCUAAUACCGGAUAAGCCCUUACGGGGAAAGAUUUAUCGCCAAAAGAUCGGCCCGCGUCUGAUUAGCUAGUUGGUGGGGUAAUGGCCCACCAAGGCUACGAUCAGUAGCUGGUCUGAGAGGAUGAUCAGCCACAUUGGGACUGAGACACGGCCAAACUCCUACGGGAGGCAGCAGUGGGGAAUAUUGGACAAUGGGGGCAACCCUGAUCCAGCCAUGCCGCGUGGGUGAUGAAGGCCUUAGGGUUGUAAAGCUCUUUUAGCAGGGAAGAUAAUGACGGUACCUGCAGAAAAAGCCCCGGCUAACUUCGUGCCAGCCGCCGCGGUAA